CCUACGGGUGGCAGCAGUGAGGAAUAUUGGUCAAUGGCCGUAAGGCUGAACCAGCCAAGUCGCGUGAAGGACGAAGGUGCCAAGCAUUGUAAACUUCUUUUGUCAAGGGACAAAAUCAGGCACGUGAGCCUGACCGAGGGUACUUGAAGAAAAAGCAACGGCUAACUCCGUGCCAGCAGCCGCUGUAAUACGGAGGAUCCGAGCGUUAUCCGGAUUUAUUGGGUUUAAAGGGUGCGUAGGCGGCCUUUAAGUCAGCGGUGAAAGUCUGUGGCUCAACCAUGGACUUGCCGUUGAAACUGGGGGGCUUGAGUGUGUUUGAGGCAGGCGGAAUGCGUGGUGUAGCGGUGAAAUGCUUAGAUAUCACGCAGAACCCCGAUUGCGAAGGCAGCAUGCCGAGGCCUGACUGACGCUGAUGCACGAAAGCGUGGGGAUCGAACAGGAUUAGAUACCCGUGUAGUC
rnacentral:rRNA from 1 species